rnacentral:rRNA from 1 species
UACGGAGGAUCCAAGCGUUAUCCGGAAUCAUUGGGUUUAAAGGGUCCGUAGGCGGUUUUAUAAGUCAGUGGUGAAAUCUGGUCGCUCAACGAUCAAACGGCCAUUGAUACUGUAGAACUUGAAUUACUUGGAAGUAACUAGAAUAUGUAGUGUAGCGGUGAAAUGCUUAGAGAUUACAUGGAAUACCAAUUGCGAAGGCAGGUUACUACGAGUGUAUUGACGCUGAUGGACGAAAGCGUGGGGAGCGAACAGG